rnacentral:piRNA from 1 species
UUUCAUAUGACGGGGGCUUCAU